rnacentral:rRNA from 1 species
UACGUAGGGACCAAGCGUUGUUCGGAUUUACUGGGCGUAAAGGGCGCGUAGGCGGCAAUUCAAGUCAGUUGUGAAAUCUCCGAGCUUAACUCGGAACGGUCAACUGAUACUGUUUUGCUAGAGUGCAGAAAGGGCAACCGGAAUUCUUGGUGUAGCGGUGAAAUGCGUAGAUAUCAAGAGGAACACCGGUGGCGAAGGCGGCAUCCUGGACCGAGAUUGACGCUGAGGCGCGAAAGCCAGGGGAGCAAACGGG